rnacentral:lncRNA from 1 species
UGAAUCUAGUUUGUUGUCCAUACUGAUGUCGCUUAGAAACCUUCCCUUAAGAUUCGCCCCUGGAAAGAUGAGAUAUGUUGAAGUUAUCUUGCCAGCAAAACUGAGUAUCUAAGUUUAAAUACGCUGAUAAUAUGAAUCUAGAUAAAGGGUUUGCGACACUUUUACUGAAUCCUAGUUCAGAAAAGAAUUUUGGAAGUUUUGCAAAAAAAUUCCAAAAAGACUUGAGAUAAAAGUUGAAAUAAUGUCAGCUUACUUAGUAUUUAUAUACUUAUUCCUGAUUUAUAAAAUGUUUUGACAUUACUCCUUUUCUCAUUGCUCAAAAAACAAACAAACAAAAAAACACGAAAAGUUAACAGUGCACCAAUAACAACGUAUAAUCUGUGAAUGUCAUUGCCUGACCGUUAUUUCAAUAUAUAUGUUACCCAUCAUAACAUAGAACUGGGGGCUGUCUUUUGACAUUUUCAUCAUUCAAGAAAAUAAAAUAGCAUUUAUUAAUUUCAGGGCUCUAAGAUUGCUUGUAAAAAUAUUCUUUUACCUGUCGAACAAAUAUUUAAGCAAACAAUGUCAUUUUUCCCUUAGUCUCAAUCGUUUCUCAUUAUUAAUGCAAAAUAAUGGGGAUAUCAGCAAUAUUAGAACCUCAAGACAAACAAACAAAUAAACAGCCUGAAGGAUAAUAUAUUUCGGCAGCCUUGCAGCAGACCCGAUUUCAACUUAAUACACUUCAAAUAUUUUUUUUGAGUUUUUUUUCUCUUUCUUUCUUUUUUUUUAAUUUUUUGAGAAAGCCAGCAUGCAGUACUUCAUUGAUGCUGUUGUAAACUUUCCUUACAGAAGAGAAGUUUUUAGAUUUAUUGGAUGGCCUCGAUCCUGCGAUACUGCUAAAUAAAGGUGUUUUGAGAUCUCACACCUCUCUCUAUUUCUCCUUCUGUCCGGAUAAAUUAUUUGAUGCAUUAGGUUCAUCAUGGUAGGAUGAAAUGAAUCCACCUAGUAAUUAGCUGUAUGUUUUGAUAACUUAAUUUGGUAGACUUUCAGAUUUGUGCUAUGUUGCACUCUUCCUAACGAGGAGAGCUUUUCCUCAAGUUUAGAGAUAAUUUCUUAUAUAUUUUUCCAUUGAUGUAAUGAAUUGAAAACUCCUCUAAGUGAGGAUAAUUUGCAUAUGAAAAUAUCGCAACCUAUGUAUUAGUUGUUAAAAUAUAUCAUCAUCGUCGCAUUUGCAAGAGAGUAAAUAUUACGUUUAGUGUUAUAAAUCAUGUCCUUGUCAAAUAACCAUGGUAUGUCAAAUUAUUGGGACAACAUCAUGUAUUAUGACUUCAUAUUGUUUAUGAAAAAUUAGACAAGACACGAGUUUUUCUCGGUAAUCUUUUUAUAGUCAUCAGCCAUAAUAGGUGAGGGGGAGGUGAUUUUGGCUCCAUUUUCCUUUUCAAAGACUAGCCUUGUGUCAAAUUAAACUAGCUCCACUAGAACCAUGUUUAUGGUGCCUCAACCAUUAAUUUUGAUUAUAAUGCAUAACCCUCCCACUAGAAACAACCCUCAUUUUAAAUGUUUGAUUGUACUGUGAAUCCACUUUAGUCUUAUAUUUCGAUACAGACAUUUUUCAUUGGAAUAUUAAAGUUCCAUGAACCUUUGUGAAAUACUUUCUACUCUCGAGCAUGGUUACACCUUCGAAAAUAGAAACCACCAUAGAAAGCAUAUCAAGAACCAGGUUUCUUGACUUCAAAACAAGAUUAAACAAUAUCACUCUUAAAUAUAGAAAAAAUAUGGUCAAGUGAUUUAAAGUUCAUGGGUGCUUUAAGGGAAUUAACUCUUUAUAUAGCUUUUUGCAAAAUUCAAUGCAGGGAAAGUUGAGAUUAAGGGUUGAAUAUUUAAGAAGUUAAUGCUCUAAUAUUUUUCACUUUUGCGAGAUCUUUUACUUGUGCUUCUAGUUUCGCAUCUAUCAACAUGAUUAAAUUUUUUAAUAAUUAAUUAUUGUAGGAAUGCAGGAUCCUUCACUUUGACGCCACUUCGAUGCCAUGGGUGAAUGCGGAAAUCAUGUAGUUUUUAUGCAAGAAUAUAUUGAGGUAGAGGAAGAUAAGGAGGAAUUGUACAAUUCAUGACCAUAAUUUUAACAUUCCAUAAUUUGCAAAUUUCACCACCUAAUUGCAGCUGCAUAUUCCGAUGGAACCAAGAUCAAUGAAAUAUGAUAUUAAGGUAAAAAAAGCUUAUGCUUCUUGGAAGCCUCUUAAUUCCAUGUAAACUAAAGCUCUCCGGAAGCAUGUUACAUCAUGUUAUUACGACAAUAUCUAGAUUAUCCAUGCUAUUUUCCAUUAUUUAUCGAUACUCUUUCAGUCGUACAAUACUCAGAUUCCGCAUGAAUAAUUUUCCUUAAGAUGUGCUUUCGAAUAAUUCAUGAAGCAUAAAAUGAAUCAAAAAUCCAUGGAUCAUUUUCAAAUUAUUCGCGGAACUACUUUUUAAUUAUCGAUUGAUGAUGCCAUUUCUCGUUCUUUUUUGCAAUAGCUUAUUGUUGCAUGCUGCAUCUAUAUUGCUUUUAUAUUCUGUAGACAUAGGUAGAUGCAUCAAUUUUCUCAUCUUAAACUUUUUUUUCUGAGUAUAUACUUUUCCUUGGGUGCACUAAUUUAUGAUCACAGUUAGUACAAAUUAACCUUUGCUUUAUUUUGUUUUUUUAAUGGAAAAUUGCUGGUAUAAGCUAUUAUUAGUUAAUUUGGUCUACAGUUUGGUAAGAAAGAAAGGCGAUCCAAUCCGGUCUUUGAUCAUCCAAUGACCAACCUAUCAGAUCUCCCAAACAAAUUUAACCAUCUAAAUUUAAACAUUUGUUCUAUUGGAGUAAACAGAUAGGGUCCAUUUAACAUGAGAAUCUCACUGCUAUUUGUGGAGACCAAGAACUUAAGUAAAGAGUCAGACAAGUUUCUAAUCCAUCAUAUAGAUAGAUCAUUAGAGACAUGGAAAAACAAACUUGUCCCUUUCUUGUUUAUUGAUAAUCCUUUUACUUUUCUCAUUCCACCAAUUUGAUCAAUUAAGUUUUAGAUGUAUAAGCAUUGCUUCAUUAAGUUAUAACCGAAUCAUGCAAACCAAUGAUCAUGACAUGCGAUGUAGAAAAUCACAUAUUGAAUCUCAUGAUGGACAUAAGGCAAGAAUUGUUCAAGAAAAAAGAUACAAAGAGUCAAAAAAGGCUGAAGAAGGAACAAAAGACAGGAAAGAUAGCACCCCCAUGAGCCAAGCAUUAGACUUGCCUAUAUUUUCCAACAAUUUAUCAUCUCUUCCAUCUCUUUUGCUUCCAAUAACUAUCUUCCUCUUGCUCAUGGUUACAACUUGACCUCGUGUCUGUUGGCUUCUUCAUUAAGCGAAUCCAAUUCUCUCGACGUGGAUUGUUCUUGAACCCAUCAGAAGAAAACCAUGCCAUUGGUCCUGGCUGCAGCAAAUUCCUCUGGAGAAAUCGAGAGAUGUGGAAAUCUGCCUCUGAAUUCAGCACAGAGAGUUGUUCAUAAGAUGAGGAAGAAGAAGGGUGAGGAGGUUAGCUUGACUUCUCUCUUUAUCAGCGGAAGGGAUUGGUUGCUUAUGUGAUGGAUAUCUCCACUUCCCAAGUUCCCAUUGGAAGAAAAAGAAGAACCAAAGGGAAAAGACAGGCAAUGAGGCUUACACCUCAUGAUUUCCGUUAGUUUAUUGUUAGCUAUGCCUCAAGAGUAUCUUGAGCCG